UUGGCUGAGAUAGGUUGGCAAUGUGCGAGCUAUAGUAGGUCGUUCACAACCAAGAUCAUGGAGGCUGUAGGGUCCAUAUCGAUCUCAAGCAAUGUGGAGUAGAUUGGCGGAGGACAAUCUAAAAUGGAUCGACUGAAGCCGAGGAGUCGAGAACCACUGGUGAUGGGGUGCGUCCGAUGGCCUUCAUCUCUGUCACAUCUAUAUACCUACC
rnacentral:lncRNA from 1 species